UCUAAGUAUGACAUCUGCCGCUGAGCUCCAAAGCUCUGUGAUAAGCUGCGGGCUCCUGCCAUUAACCCAGAAGAGGCCUUUCCUUUGUUGUGCUUUCCCUGGAAGUAGAAAAUAACUGCCCUGAAUGCACUCCAUCCCACAUCCCAGAACAUCACCACAAAGCUAGCCACGUGCUCCGUGCUCCAUGGACCCCAGAUGACUUGUGUGCCUCGGGGCAGGAGUUCAGAAGGAAGCACUGCCUUCCCAGAGUGGGACCGUCAGCACUGGACUCAAUCAGCCUCAUGAAGACACGCCUGGGCAAUCUCCUGCAAACUCAGAGGGAUGAGAGGGCAAAACAGGACAAAGCAAAUCAGAGCAAAGAGCAAAGGAGAGACAUACACACGUGCCAAGGUGCACAAGUGGAUGUCAGAAGGUAACCCAAAAGAAGUCUGUUUCCCCCUUCUACCGUGUGAAUCCUGGGGAUUGAACUCAGGCUGGCAGGUUUGGCAGCAAGCACCCUUCCUUACCUGCUGAGUGACCUCAUCAGCCCUACUCUACUUCAUUUGUUUGUUUUUAUUUUUGAGGAGAUGGUCUCACACAGCCAAGGCUUUCUAGAACUCCUGAUCCUCCUCCUCCAAUUCCAGAGUAGUGGAAUUACAGUGUAUGCAGCGCUUGGGGGGGCAAUCUGGGUCCCUGUGCAUACUAGGCAAGUGCUCUACCAAUUAAGCUGCAACCCAGUCCCCAGUAUUUUUCUUUCUUUUUUCUUUUUUAAAACUAUUUGCCCUGUUUUAGGUGUGGGAGUAUUUUGCCCUCAUGUAGUAUGUGCACUGUGCACAGAUCUGGUGCCCUCAGAGGCAAGAAGAGGGCCUCAGAUCUCCUGGGACUGGAGUCAUUGACAAUAUAUAUGGAAUAUAUUGACAGCAUAUAUGGGUGCUGGGAACCAACCCCAGUCCUUUGCAAGAGCACUAUGUGCUCCUGACCACUGAGCUGUCUCUCUAGCCCCAUCAAUGUUCUGCUUAUGAUGCCUUGGCAGCAGCCUAUAACAUAUCUCGCUACAGCAACAGAUAAACAACUCAAACCCUUUCUAACUACUGAGCCAUUUCCAUAGCUCUUUUGCUACAUAAUGGAUUCGAGACUACCCUAGACUACACAAGACCCUGCCUCAAAAAAAGAAGAGAGAGAGACUGAGAAGUAAGUAUACUUCUUACUUACUUACUUACUAACUACUGCGGGCCAUCUAAGAACUUAAAAGCUCUCUGCACAAGGGUCAGCCGUGGCUGUUCACACUCAUAACCCUAACCCUAACAAGGCUAGGGUUGCAAGGAUGGAGCAAGAGGAUCCCAGAUUUGGGAUCAGCUUGGGCUACAUAGCAAGCUGCCAUUUCAAGAAGACGAGGAGGAGAGAAAGGAAGAGGAAGACCAUCUUCCAGACUGGUGCUCGUCCAGCGUGUGCAAUAUCCUGGAUUCCAUCUCAGCACUGAACUCCCUCUCUGAGUGCCCCUCCCCGCAAAACCCAACUCUGUCUAUCUUAUUUCAGAACAGUGUCAGCCCAGCAUCCAUGUAUCUUAUCCAUUGGCUGGAUCAUUGAUUACCCAGUAACUUUGCUGUUAAACUUAAUGAGCCACCACCCAGUAGUGGUGACACACGCCUUUAAUCCCAGCACUUGAGAGGCAGAGGCUGGCAGAUCUCUGUGAGUUUGAGGCCAGCCUGGUCUACAGAGUGAGUUCCAGGACAGCCAGGACUGAUUCACAGAGAAACCCUGUCUCGAAAAACAAAAAUGAAACAAAAACAAACAAACAAAAAACAAGCAAAAGCCUUGAUAAAGCCUCAAAGAAUUAUGAUUUCAAGGUCCCUUUCCUGCCCACAUUUGUUCAGGGGAAACUUUUGAACAUUUAACUUCCAUAUAGAGGCUAUGUAAUAAGUAUACAGCUAUAUAAUUUGUUCCCAGAAACAGUGAUGAAUACAGACCGAGCCAGUUAAGGGAGACAACUGCGUAUUUUUAAUGCUCUUUAGGGACAUCCUAAAAUAAACUUGUUUGUUUUCCUUUUUUUUUAAGUUGGAGGAGAAGAAUGAGGGGUUAUGGUUUGAUGAUUUUGGAGUUUCGUGGAUAGCAGGUAACAGUGGUUACACAAUGACAUGAAUAGAACUCAAGUGUCAUCAAACUUUAUUCCGGGAAGCAGUUAAGAGGUAAGUUUCAUGUUAGCAUGUACUUUGUCACAAAUUUUUGGAGACAGUAAGAUAGCUACUUUUCCACUCAAAACUACUAAAUCAUAUCCCACACAUCCAUUAAGUCAGGGCUAAACUUUACAGGAACUAACAGAUAGGGCAAAACUUUUAAUAAUAAAGCAAAAGUCCUCCAAUAGCAACAGUGGCUCCUCUCUUAAUGGUGUGUGUGUGUGUGUGUGUGUGUGUG
ensembl:lncRNA